CCUACGGGAGACAGCAGUGAGGAAUAUUGGUCAAUGGCCGGAAGGCUGAACCAGCCAAGUCGCGUGAGGGACGACUGCCCUAGGGGGUGUAAACCUCGUUUAUAAGGGAAGAAGAAAUGCGACGUGUAGCAUGAUGCCUGUACCUUAUGAAUAAGCAUCGGCUAACUCCGUGCCAGCAGCCGCGGUAAGACGGAGGAUGCGAGCGUUAUCCGGAUUUAUUGGGUUUAAAGGGUGCGUAGGCUGUUUUUUAAGUUAGUGGUUAAACGUCGGGGCUUCACCUUGAUUUGCCAUUCAUACUGUAAGACUCGAGUUCAGCCUCGGUAGGCGGAAUCAGUUCCGUAGCCGUG
rnacentral:rRNA from 1 species